AAACCAUGAUGUGGACACUUUCUCAAUAACUCAUUAUAUCUUUCUGAUGCCUCAAACAAGGAUUCACUAUCGCUCUGAACAAAUGAUGUUAUAUCAUUCCUCAUCUU